rnacentral:rRNA from 1 species
UGGGGAAUUUUCCGCAAUGGGCGCAAGCCUGACGGAGCAAGACCGCGUGAGGGAAGAAGGCUCUUGGGUCGUAAACCUCUUUUCUCAAGGAAGAAACCUGACGGUACUUGAGGAAGAAGCCUCGGCUAACUCCGUGCCAGCAGCCGCGGUAAUACGGAGGAGGCAAGCGUUAUCCGGAAUUAUUGGGCGUAAAGCGUCCGUAGGUGGCUAGUCAAGUCUGCGGUCAAAGACUGGAGCUCAACUCCAGGAAGGCCGUGGAAACUGAAGAGCUAGAGUCCGGUAGGGGUAGAGGGAAUUCCCAGUGUAGCGGUGAAAUGCGUAGAGAUUGGGAAGAACACCGGUGGCGAAAGCGCUCUGCUGGACCGGAACUGACACUGAGGGACGAAAGCUAGGGGAGCGAAUGGGAUUAGAUACCCCCGUAGUCC